GUUCCACUGCGCGCUGUGGUUGCAAGAGAUCCACUUCAGCCUCCACCUUGGGUGAACCAGGCGAGGCCGCGCAAGUCAAUCAUUGACUUUCCUGCUCGGCGAAGUGCAAACUGGUUUGUGAGAAUCAAAAAAAGGAUACAAUUUCUGAGUGGCAACAUCUGAAAAAUAUAUCUGCAAAAUAUAUCUGCGAAAUCUGCAGAGGCACAGUUAAGGCUCGGUGGACUUAUCAGUGCUUGUCUGUUAUCUGUGGGUCUGAGUGGGGAAGUGUUUGUGGCUUUCCCACCAGACGAACCUUGAGGGUGAAGGUUAAUGCCAGGGUCAGAAAAGGUGAAAUCCUCUGGCAAGAUGUGAUAAGGCAAGGAGUAGGAAAAUCAAACUUCAUUGAUUCUCGUUCUGAGAAAAUCCUUAUUAUAACCACGCACUAUUUUAUCAGAAACACAGAGAGAUGGCCUCAUGGCAGCACCUCUUAAAUAACAGCAUAAUUCAAGAACGUUGGAAUGUGGCUGUCCAUAUAUUCAUCAUUUGUCACGGUCAUAAAGUCGUAAGUAAUAGGAGCAGAAAUAGGCCAUUCAGCCCAUCAAGUCUACUCCGGCAUUCAAUCAUGGCUGAUCUAUCUCUCCCUGCGAACACCAUUCUCCUGCCUUCUCCCCAUAACUCCUGACACCCAUACUAAUCAAGAAUCUAUCUAUCUCUGCCUUUAAAAUAUCCAUGGAUGGCCUCCACAGCUUUCUGAGACACAGAUUCACCACCCUCUGACUAAAUAACUUUCUCCUCAUCUUCUUAAAGGAACGUUCUUUAAUCUGAGGCUAUGGCCUCUAGUCCUAGACUCUCCUACUAGUGGAAACAUCUUCUCCACAUCCACUCUAUCCAAGCACUCUUGUCAAGUGAAAAGGGUGGGCCGAAGGGCCUGUUCCUGUGCUGUUCUGUUCUUGCAAUAAUCUCUUCUACAAUUCCUGAUAGAAGUAUAUAAAAUUAUGAGAAGCAUAGAUAAGAUAGACAGUCAAAAUCUUUGUCACAGGAUGGAAAAAUCAAAUACUAGAGGGCAUAGUUUUAAGGUGAGAGGAGCGGUGUAGAUUGGUUUAUGCAUGACAACCAUGACUUUGUUCCUACAAAACAACUGCGUCGCCUAGCCGAACAUACAGCUGCCGACGCAACCCUCCAGAUACUUUCAUCCCUGAUCAAAAGAGGUUGGCCAGACAGACAAUCCAACGUACCAACAGAGGUGCAGUCGUUCUUCUUAGUCCACGAUGAACUGGUAAUACAGGACGGUGUCAUAGUUAAGGGCCACAGGGCCGUGAUCCCCUCAUUGUUACGUGACGAAUAUUACAAAGAGGCACACAGUGGUCACCCAGGAGUUGAUGUCACGCUGGCCCACGCACAGAACCUGUUCUACUGGCCUGGGAUGACCAAGGACAUAUGGGACAGUACAGCCUCCUGCCCAGCCUUGCACCACACCAGCAGAGACAGCCCUUACUGCAGCAACCUCCACCAGCUCUGCCCUGGACAUCGCUGGCGGCAGACAUUUUCCAAUGGCACGGUAAACACUAUCUUGUCCUGGUCGACUCUUAUUCUAACUGGUUCGAACUCGACCUACUGACCUCCCAUCACAUCAGAAAUGGUAAUUCAAAAGCUAAAGAAACACUUUUUCACAUUUGGCGCACCCGUCCGUUUGCAGACCGACAACGGAAGACAAUUUACCAGCCACGCUCUCAAGCUCUUUGCCAACCGAUGGAAUUUCCACCAUGUCACGAGCAGCCCUGAAUACCCACAGAGCAACGGGCUCGCUGAACGAACUGUCAGAAGCGCAAAGCAUCUAACGGAACGCGCACACCUCGCCACUUCAGACGUGUACCUCGAUCUCUUAAAUCUCAGGAACAUUGCUAGAGAUGGAACCCUGGGCUCGUCGGCCCAGCGACUGAUGUCCAGAACAACGAGACCUCCAAUUCCGAUUGCCCAGCAGAAGCUGAUACCACAGGUGCUGAAGCCAGCUACAAUCCAAAAGUGUAUCCAGGAGAGAAACACGACAUUCAGAAACAGUCGCAUGAUAAGUCCAGCAAACCACUCAAGCCUCUACUACCGGGCCAAGUCAUUCGUUUACAAGCUUCCAUGCGACAAUCCCAUCUGGGUAGUGUUGUUGGCAUUGUUGAAAAACCUCAAUCCUACCUUGUGGACUAUGAUGGUACCAUAUACCGCAGGAGCCGCCAACACUUGCUUGCCGUGAAGGAACCACGUCCGCCACCAGUCGGUCCCUAUGCUCCACCACUUCAGUUGCAGCCGUUUGCUGCCAUACCUUCCACCAGCCCCAGCACGUCCCGUACCCCUCCACAACCAGCGGCUAUGACUAGCCACAGAAUUAUCUCUCCUGCAUGCUCCCCCGGUCGGUCACCACGGGUGUCCCCUGCUGUGUUCUCGCUUCCGGGUUCACCACCUCCCUUUAAUCUUUCUGGCGAAGGGGGAGAGGGCUUGGUCCGUACACUUUCGGGCCAUAUUAGUAAAUCGCCUGAUAGAUACGAAUAUAUUUAAAUUCUUAUGACGUGUGCUCACUAUACUCACUCUUUAAGGGGAAGGAUGUAGGUUGUCAUGCAUAAUCCAUAAUUGGAUUAUGCAUGACAACCAAUCAUAGUAGAAUAGCAUCACUAACCCCACCCAACUGUACGAUUUAUAUUAACACCCACUUCCUGUACUGCUCAGUCUUGGAAGCGGUUCUGAUGCUCUGACGACUAACAAUCUGCUGUACCGCUGUAUUUUGAAUGCUGAUUAAAGAUGAUCUUGGAUUUUAGAUUGUAUGACUCAGUUGUUUACAUACGGGACAAGUUUUUUUAUGCAGAGGGUGGUGAGUGCCUGGAACACUAUGCAGGGGGUGGUGGUUGAGGCAGAUAUGAUAGUGGUAUUUAAGAAACAUUUGAAUAGGCACAUGGAUAUGAAUGGAUAAUGUUAAUGGAAGGAUAUAGAUUAUGUGCAGGCAGAUAAGAAUUGCUCUUGGCAUCAUGUUCGGCACGGACAUUGUAGGCUGAAGGGCCUGUUCUUGUGCUGCACUGUUCUACGUUCUAAUUACACUAUCUGAUUAAUGAAUUCAAUCUGAAUCUAUUGUAUUCCUAUUUACACUUUUUCUACACAGAUUAGUUACAGAUUACAGAUUACAGGUUGCCUUUAUUGUCAGACUGAAGUCUGAACGAAAUUUCGUGCCUGCAGUCAUACAUACAAUACAAUAAAAAACAACAAUAAACACAUAUUAACAUCCACCACAGUGAGUCCACCCAGCAUCUCCUCACUGUGAUGGAGGCAAAAGUCUUAGGUCUGCAGUCUCUUCCCUCCUCUUCUCACUCUGCGCUGAGGCGAUACCCCACCGGGCGAUAUUAAAAACAGUCCCGCGGCUCAAUCACCGCGCCCCGGGGUGGUCGAAGCUGCCGCCCACCAGUCCUGCUGACGCAGCCGCUGGCUCAUGGCCGAACCCCGGACUCAGGUCACCGCCGCCAGAACGCCGUCCCAGCCCCGAGCCGGAUCGCCCUCAC